rnacentral:rRNA from 1 species
GACGAACGCUGGCGGCGUGCCUAAUACAUGCGAGUUGAGCGAUGAAGAUUGGUGCUUGCACCAAUUUGAAGAGCAGCGAACGGGUGAGUAACGCGUGGGGAAUCUGCCUUUGAGCGGGGGACAACAUUUGGAAACGAAUGCUAAUACCGCAUAACAACUUUAAACAUAAGUUUUAAGUUUGAAAGAUGCAAUUGCAUCACUCAAAGAUGAUCCCGCGUUGUAUUAGCUAGUUGGUGAGGUAAAGGCUCGCCAAGGCGAUGAUACAUAGCCGACCUGAGAGGGUGAUCGGCCACAUUGGGACUGAGACACGGCCCAAACUCCUACGGGAGGCAGCAGUAGGGAAUCUUCGGCAAUGGACGAAAGUCUGACCGAGCAACGCCGCGUGAGUGAAGAAGGGUUUCGGAUCGUAAAACUCUGUUGGUAGAGAAGAACGUUGGUGAGAGUGGAAAGCUCAUCAAGUGACGGUAACUACCCAGAAAGGGACGGCUAACUACGUG